rnacentral:rRNA from 1 species
GAUGAACGCUGGCGGCGUGCCUAAUACAUGCAAGUCGAGCGAAUGGAUUAAGAGCUUGCUCUUAUGAAGUUAGCGGCGGACGGGUGAGUAACACGUGGGUAACCUGCCCAUAUGACUGGGAUAACUAUUGGAAACGAUAGCUAAUACCGGAUAGGUUGAUUGGAGGCAUCUCUGAUUAAUUAAAGUAGGAUUUCUACACAAAUGGAUGAGUUUAUGGCGCAUUAGUUAGUUGGUGGGGUAACGGCCUACCAAGACGAUGAUGCGUAGCCGACCUGAGAGGGUGACCGGCCACACUGGGACUGAGACACGGCCCAGACUCCUACGGGAGGCAGCAGUAGGGAAUUUUCGGCAAUGGGCGCAAGCCUGACCGAGCAACGCCGCGUGAGUGAUUAAGGCCUUCGGGUUGUAAAGCUCUGUUGUAAGGGAAGUACAUUCAGGAUAGGAAAUGAUCUUGAACUGACGGUGCCUUACCAGAAAGCCACGGCUAACUACGUGCCAGCCGCCGCGGUAA